rnacentral:rRNA from 1 species
AAAUUGAAGAGUUUGAUCAUGGCUCAGAUUGAACGCUGGCGGCAGGCCUAACACAUGCAAGUCGAGCGGCAGCGGGAAGUAGUUUACUACUUUGCCGGCGAGCGGCGGACGGGUGAGUAAUGUCUGGGAAACUGCCUGAUGGAGGGGGAUAACUACUGGAAACGGUAGCUAAUACCGCAUAACGUCUUCGGACCAAAGUGGGGGACCUUCGGGCCUCACGCCAUCGGAUGUGCCCAGAUGGGAUUAGCUAGUAGGUGGGGUAAUGGCUCACCUAGGCGACGAUCCCUAGCU